AACGUAGGACGCAAGCGUUAUCCGGAGUUACUGGGCGUAAAGCGCGGGCAGGCGGCUCGAAACGUCUGAUGUGAAAUCUCCUCGCUCAACGGGGAGAGGCCAUUGGAAACGGUCGAGCUGGAGGGCAGUAGAGGUAGGCGGAAUUCCGGGUGGAGUGGUGAAAUGCGUAGAUAUCGGGAGGAACACCAGUGGCGAAGGCGACUACCUGGCCUGUUCUUGACGCUGAGGCGCGAAAGCUAGGGGAGCAAACGGG
rnacentral:rRNA from 1 species